GUCAAUUGAGGGAAAAUAUGCUUACUUAGCUUUUAUUAGCUAUUUUCUCUAUCUCUAUAAAAUUAUAUGCUAUUUGUCAAGUAAGAAAGGGUGAUCGGUUCGUUACAUAACCUAGAGUCUGGCAGCAUGCACUGGUGACGCUCCAUUUAAGAUCUUGAUGUUCUCUCAGUCAAAUUUAAAUCCAAGCCAGCCAAUUCUUCUCCACCUUUUUGAUCCCUCACUCCUAUCCAUCGUCCGGACCGCAGGGCAAGAGGCAAAGGAAGAGAGGAAAAGACGGGUGAGCCCUAUGCUGACCACCUAAGAGUGAGAGAAUGGGAGCUGGGCCCAAGAAAUAGGUUUUGACCCUA
rnacentral:lncRNA from 1 species